GCAUAUCAAUAAGCGGAGGAAAAAGAAACCAACAGGGGAUUGCCCUAGUAACGGCGAGUGAAGCGGCAACAGCUCAAAUUUGAAAUCUGGCACUUGUGCCCGAGUUGUAAUUUGUAGAGGAUGCUUUUGGCGACGCGCCUUCCGAGUUCCCUGGAACGGGACGCCAUAGAGGGUGAGAGCCCCGUCCGGUCGUGCGCCUAGCCUCUGUAAAGCUCCUUCGACGAGUCGAGUAGUUUGGGAAUGCUGCUCUAAAUGGGAGGUAUACGUCUUCUAAAGCUAAAUACCGGCCAGAGACCGAUAGCGCACAAGUAGAGUGAUCGAAAGAUGAAAAGCACUUUGAAAAGAGGGUUAAAUAGUACGUGAAAUUGCUGAAAGGGAAGCGCUUAUGACCAGACUUGGGCGCGGCGGAUCAUCCGGCGUUCUCGCCGGUGCACUCCACCGCCCCAGGCCAGCAUCAGUUCGCGCCGGGGGACAAAGGCUUCGGGAAUGUGGCUCCCUCGGGAGUGUUAUAGCCCGUUGCGUAAUACCCUGGUGCGGACUGAGGUCCGCGCUCUGCAAGGAUGCUGGCGUAAUGGUCAUCAGUGACCCGUCUUGAAACACGGACCAAGGAGUCGUCUUCGUAUGCGAGUGUUCGGGUGUCAAACCCCUACGCGGAAUGAAAGUGAACGUAGGAGAGAGCUUCGGCGCAUCUCCGACCGAUCCUGAUGUUCUCGGAUGGAUUUGAGUAAGAGCAUACGGGGCCGGACCCGAAAGAAGGUGAACUAUGCCUGUGUAGGGUGAAGCCAGAGGAAACUCUGGUGGAGGCUCGCAGCGGUUCUGACGUGCAAAUCGAUCGUCAAACAUGGGCAUGGGGGCGAAAGACUAAUCGAACCUUCUAGUAGCUGGGUUUCCGCCGA
rnacentral:rRNA from 1 species